UUUGGAUGAAAAAGAAGUGGAUGAUUGCACCACAUCUGAAGUAGUUGGGGGCUUUCAACUUUGGUUAUCUUUGUGUUAAAUGGCAGAAAAUUUCUUAAAAUCAUUUAUACUUAAUAAUUCAAAACAAAAAUUUAUAGACUUUUUAACCUAGAUUUUGCUUCACUUCCUACCUUUUGGGAAAGGUUUCAUUAUAGUUGACCUUAAACCUGCAUUAGUUUCGCACAAGAUUUAUCAGCUUAACAUUUAGCAUUAUGUAGUUAUUGAAACUGAUAAGUCAUUAACAAUAGCAAUUAAAAUAUAUUCUGUAAAUAGUAACUGCUUUUUGUGCAUUUAUAAUGAGCGAACUAUCUCUGCUGUUGGUAAUGGUUAGGUGAUUUAAAGUUUUAGUCUGCAUUUCAGGAGAAUAUAUUUUUCUGCUUGUGCUUUUUGGUAGUGUUUAUGUUGAUGUAUUUAUAAACAAGUGCUUGUUUAGCUAAUGCAUAUUAUAAAAACUGUUACCUUUUUGGCUAUAUGUUUCCAAAUUUUUGGUCAGAAUUAAAACUCUUAAUAACCUGAGCUGCUUCUCAUUAAAUUACAUUAGGUUUUGUGUAUACAUCUUACGUUCUUCAACUGUAAAGGUGGAUUUAAUAGAAUUAUCAACCUCAAAGUAAUAAAGUGAGAAUUAGCUGAAAUAUUUUUUUUCAACUUAGUACCUUGCUUGUCUCAUGAUAAGGACUCCAUAAAUAUCAAGUAUUUUGAUUAUUUUCUUUCCCAAUCCAUAUCAUUCUUCUACCUACAGGUUUUUAAAGCAAAAAUAUAAAAUAAAAGUGCAGUAAAAUUAAAAAAAAAUAUAUUUAAAAACAAGAGAAAUAAACUAAGAACAAAAUUAAAUAGGGUUACAGAUUCUUAUGAAGACAAUUGAUGAAUAUUUAAGUAGGGAACUUAAUUCAUGAAAUGUUGUAUAUACUGACGAUAUUCUACUGAAAGAGGUUUUAAUAUUUAAUGAUCCUAUUAGAUUUAAUAAAACAUGAGCAGGUAUGGAUUUCAAGAAUAUAAUUCUAUCCAUUAACAGGAAGAUUUCAUGUAAAUGAGUGCCCAUAUAAUUAUCCUUAAAGACUAAGUGUAUUUACAAUAUAUUAAAAGUGCCUCUAAAAACCAUGUCUGAAUUUCUUAGUAUUUUAAGUUAUCCAACAAAACAUUAACUAAAAUAAUUUAUAUAUUAUUUUAAUUUGAGUGAUCCAAUAUUUUUUAUAUAAUUUUGCUUUGAAGCACUGUUUUGUUGAAUUCUAAGGAGUCUAUAAUACUGGGAUAUCAGUAGAUUUUAUUAUAUUUCAAUAUUAUUAUAUAAAAUAUUAAUUUCAAAGUAGCUUAAAGAUUUUUUCCUGCAUUAAAAAAUCAAUUUAUAAUUUUAAUUGAUUUAGUCCUAUAGUGUUAUCUGAAAAUUAUAGCUUCCUUUUGACCUUCAGUGAUACAAAAAUUACAGUUGCUUGGAUUAUUUAUUAAGAUUAUUUUUAAAUACUGAAUUAAAAUACAAUGUUAUAAUUUUUUAAUAUGUGUUUAAUGAAAACAAGUAGGAGGUGGUAUCCCUUCAUAGGAAUCAAAGUGAUUGCUAAUUUACAAAUAGGCUAACAUUCCUUAGUUUCCAAUUAGUAUCACUGUUCAAAGGGAAAAAAUCAAAUGUGGAAAUAAUUCCCUCAUUAAUUCACAUAAGCUUACUAAUUCUUAUUCCUAUUUUCCAAGAUGACAAAUCACAGAUAUAAAAAGCACUUGAUUUCAUAUCGAUUCGGUAUUUUGCAAAUGAUUUUUUUUUCUUGUUUUAUUUGAGAAAGAAGGAAAAAUAAUUUAUAGACCUGUAUGAUGGGUUACAAGUCUCUUCAUUAAAUUUCCAUUUCGGUAAAUGCCAAAAUAACCGUAUCACAAUUACAUUUUACUAACUUUUACUCAUUGAAUGAGCCAAAUCAACUGCUCCAAGAUAAUUUCCAGGCUACCAGGUUUGUGUACUUCAUUUCUAAGCUCUUUUGUAGUUAUGCAUCUAUACUCCCUCAUGGCCUGAAAGAAUCUUUCCAAUAUUUCAGAUCUCGGUAAAAAGUUAUAAACCUAGGGAACUCUGAAUUGCACUGGAAAACUCUGGAAUGUGACCCAUACUUUAAACUUCCUAGAUUACAUAAUCUAUACAGUAGUUUUGUCCUGGAAAUGAGCUGGGGGCAAAGUUGUGAAAUACCAAAGUGCAUUUGUAGAUUUGUUAGCUUUCCGAUUGGCAAUUUUAUCUCUGUAAAGCUAUUACAGUCUCUACUACAUCAUAAAGCAACUUGAUAAACAAAAUCAAUAACAAAUCCUAGGGGAAAAAAGAAACAACAAUAGUCUUCUACACACCUAUUGAAUGGCCAAAAUCCAGAACACUGACAACACCAAAUGCCGUUGGAAUGUAAAAUUGCAUAGCCAGUUUCUUGCAAAACACAUUCUUAUGAUAUAAUCCAACAAUCAAGCUCCUUGGUAUUUUCUCAAAGGAGCUGAAAACAAUGUCCACACAAAAACAACAUGCACACAGAUGUUUAUAGCAGCUUUAUUCAUAAUUCUUAAAACUUAGAAGUAACAAAAAUGUCUUUUAGUAGUUGAGUGGAUGAACUGCCAUACAUCCAGACAAUGGCACAUUAUCCCCUACUAAAAAACAAAAGAGCUAUCAAGCCAUGAGGAGAUAUGUGGGGAACUUAAAUAAAUACUAUUAGGUAAAAGAAACCAAUCCGAAAAGGCUACACAGUGUAUGAGUCCAACUAUAAUACUCUAAGAAGGAUGAAACCAUGGAGACAGUAAAAAGUUCAGUGGUUACCAGGUAUUAGGAAAGAGAGAAAGAUGAAUAAGUAGAACACAGAAGAAUUUUAAGGCAGUGAUACUACUUUGUGUGAUACUAUAAUGAUGGCUAUUUGGCAUUAUACAUUUGUCCAAACUCAUAGCAACUCAACUCAUGUCUAACUCAACAGCAGGAGUGAAACCUAAUAUGAAUUAUGGACUAUGGGUGAUAAGGAUGUGUCAACAUUAGGUUCAUCAAGUUGUGGCAAACGCAUCACUCUGGUGGAGGAUGUGGAUAAUGGGGGAGUCUAUGGAUGUGUUGGAGGAGUAAGGGGAAAUAGGAAACCUCUGUACCUUCAGUUCAAUAUUGCUGUAAGUUUUAAACUACUCCAAAAGCAAAGCUUAUUUUUAAAGCCUUGAUUUUACCCGUAUUUGUAGAAUUUACAUUAAAAAAUAAAGCCUUUAGAAAAUGCUGUUUAACAUUCAGAAAGGGGAUCUUUAGUUAAAAUAACUAGUUCCUUUGGUGCCUGGGAUUGAGCUAAUACUUGGGGACUCUCAGUACCUGAAAUCAUAUUAUGAAGGCUGCUUCUAACCAGUAAGAGCGACUUUAUUAUCAGACCUGCAGUUUCAAUGCAACGUCCACUAAUAUCUCAAAAGCGGCAAACAAAACAACAAAACAAAACCUAAAACUUGCUGUGUCAUGAUAACAGGGAGAAUAUGAGGAUUUGUGCAAGAGAUGGAGGUAGAGAAGUGCAGCCUUUUCCUGUAGUAGAUUUCAUGUCCUUGAAAUUUAAGUUGAUUUCCAUGUUUGAUUGGAUGUUGAAGAUUGUCAACCCAGGAUGUAUGGUUUAAUAAUCUCAGUGACUCCAGUAAUUUUAAUUUGCUUACUACUCAUUUACAAGUGACAGAUACCUAAAAUAAACUAGCUUAAGAAAAAAAAAUAUGUGAUGGAUCAUAGAACUAAGGAUUCCUUUCAUUAUCCAGACUGAUUUAAUAUUUUACCACUAUUCUGGGGGGUGGGCCUGUUUAUCAGGCCCAAGAGGGGACCCAGAGAGUUGAGGAUGCAAUUCCUAAAACGAAAAGGAGUUUGUUAGCAAAAGGAGGAUAGGAGUGUGCACAGCCUCUACAGAAACAGACA